AGUGAACGCUGGCGGUGGGCCUAACACAUGCAAGUCGAACGGCAGCACAGUAAGAGCUUGCGCUUACGGGAGGCGAGUGGCGGACGGGUGAGGCAUACAUCGGAAUCUACAUUUUGGUGGGGGAUAAGGUAGGGAAACUUACGCUAAUACCGCAUGCGACCUACGGGGGAAAGCAGGAGACCUUCGGACUUUGCGCGAGUGAAUGAGGCGAUGUCGGAGUAGCGAGUUGGCGGGGAAAAGGCCCACCAAGGCGGCGAUCCGAAGCUGGUCUGAGAGAAGGAGCAGCGACACUGGUACGGAGACACGCCCCCGACUCGUACGGGAGGCACCGGUGCGAAAUCUUCGACAAUGGGCGCAAGCCUAAUCCGCCCAUUCCGCGUGAGUCAAGAGGGCCUUCGCGUUGUACAGCAUGUUUGUCUGGAAAGCGAAGCCCCCGUUUAUAACCGCGCUGUUUUGACGGUACCUAAUGAAUAAGCACCGGCUAACUUCGUG
rnacentral:rRNA from 1 species